rnacentral:rRNA from 1 species
UCAAGUUGAUCCUGCUUGAGGCUGCCGCUAUUGGAAUUCGAUUAAGCCAUGCAAGUCUAAAGGGUACUUGUACCCUUGGCAGACUGCUCAGUAACACGUGGACAACUUGCCCUAUCGCGGAGGAUAAUCUCGGGAAACUGAGAAUAAUACUCCAUAGACCUCUUAUACUGGAAUGUUUUGAGGUUGAAAGCUCCGGCACGAUAGGAUAGGUCUGCGGCCGAUUAGCUCGUAGGCGGUGUAAUGGACCACCUAGGCAAUAAUCGGUAAGGGUCGUGGGAGCGAUUGCCCUGAGACGGAAUCUGAGACACUAUUCCGAGCCUUACGGGGUGCAGCAGGCGCGAAACCUUUACAAUGCACGAAAGUGUGAUAAGGGAAUUCCAAGUGUGCAUAUACCAUAUGCACUUUUUCUUUAGUGUAAAAAGCUAGAGGAAUAAGGGGUGGGUAAGACUAGUGCCAGCCGCCGCGGUAAAACUAGCAUCCCUAGUGGCAGUCACCAUUACUGGGCUUAAAGCGUCCGUAGCUUGUUUGGACAGUCUCUGCUGAAAUCCUGCGGCUUAACCGUAGGGCUUGGCGGAGAAACUACUAGACUUGAGGACAGGAGAGGUCGGGGGUACUUCUGGGGUAGGGGUGAAAUCCUAUAAUCCUAGAAGGACCAACAGUGGCGAAGGCGCCCGACAUGAAUGUGCCUGACAGUUAGGGACGAGAGCCAGGGUCGCGAAACGGAUUAGAUACCCGUGUAGUCCUGGCCGUAAACGAUGCUGACUAGGUGGGGCGUGUUCUUUGUGAACAUGCUAUGCCGAAGGGAAACCGUUAAGUCAGCCGCCUGGGGAGUACGUCCGCAAGGAUGAAACUUAAAGGAAUUGGCGGGGGAGCACUACAAGGGGUGGAAGCUGCGGUUUAAUUAGAUUCAACGCUGGACAUCUCACCGGAGGCGACAGCAGAAUGAAGGCCAGACUGAUGGUCUUGCCGGACACGCUGAGAGGAGGUGCAUGGCCGUCGUCAGCUCGUGCCGUAAGGUGUUAGGUUAAGUCCUAAAACGAGCGAGACCCACAUCCUUAUUUGCUACCAGUUCUUCCGAGGGCUGGGCACAAUAAGGAGACUGCCCGCUAUAAGUGGGAGGAAGGAGUGGACAACGAUAGGUCCGCAUGCCCCAAAUCUUCCGGGCUACACGCGUCUUACAAUGGCAGGUACAAUGAGUUGCAACCCCGAAAGGGGGAGCCAAUCUCGAAAACCUGUCUCGGUUCGGAUCGAGGAUUGGAACUCAUCCUCGUGAAGCUGGAAUCCCUAGUAAUCGCUACUCAUUAUAUAGCGAUGAAUACGUCCCCGCUCCUUGCACACACUGUCCGUCACUCCAACCAAGCUGGAUCUAGGUGAAGCCAGGUCCCUUGAUUUGUUUAAAUCUGGGUUCAGUGAGGGGGGGGAAGUCGUAGCAAGGUA